GCACGGCGGAAGCUGCAUGAUUGGGUCCUAGGAGUUCUUUGUUGUGGUGCAGUCGGGAUUUCAAUGUCCUGGAUAAGUUUUAGAAGAGGAAAUAAGUAUCGCAAAAGGAGCAGAGGAAAUUGAAAAUAAGUGGCAAUACUGAUCAUCUUGGUCUCCUCACAGGAGAGAAGCUAUGAAGAACUUGAGUUGUGACUGCUCUUAAAGUAGAAAAAAGCAAUAUUGAAGAAGCAAAUUGACUGCAUCGAACCAAUAUUUAGGACAUACUUAUCAUAAAGAUUCAAUCCAAAUAUUACAAAUAUCAAUAGUAGCAGAAACACAUGUCAAUGAACUCACAUAUCUUAACAGUCAAAACUUAUAAACCUGGUGAUCUUAAGAACACCCCAGAAAGCUGAAAUAAAAGAAUUCAUCCAAGGAAAGACCUACAUUCGCCUGAUCAGCCAUUGAAUCAAAGGACAACCAUUAUCAGACAAACAACAGCGUCUCAUAAUUAUAAAAACCAAAAGGUCUAUAAGUGGAAAAGAACUUUACAACUUAUGGUCUGAACUUUUGAUAUUUGUAAUUCUAUUUAUUUAUAUUCUUUAUCCAUCCAUAUUAUGUGUGUUAAAUUGUGGAUAGUGCCACACCAGAACAAAUAAAUAGGUUUGUAUAUUUAGGAGAAAUUAUAAUAAUGGAUGGAGGAUGUGACGUAGAAGUUAAACAAGGAAAGAAAUAGAUGGAAGUAAUUUUGUGAAGCUGAAGAAUAUGUUAUCAACAAGAAAACACAAGCUUGUAACAAGGAGAAAAUGUCAUAAAUGCUUUAUUCUAUCUUCUUUCCUGUAUGACUAAGAAACCUGGACAAUAAGUAAAGAUCUAUGGAAGAAAAUAGAGGUAUUUGAAAACUGAAUACUAAGAUAUGCAGACUAUAAGACAAAUGAAGAUAUAUUUGAAUUUGCAAGAGCAAGACAAACUCUACAAGAGGCAUCCAGAAAAGAAAAUGACAAUAUUUUGAUCAGAGCUGAAAAGUUACAGAGAUCUCUUCUGAAGGGUAAAGUGGAAGGAAUGUAAUCAUUGUUGGUUGUUGGAUGCUAGAGUGGCUGCAAAUGAACUCCAGUGGAUGUAUGAGAAUGGCACAAAACAGCUGAAUAUGACAUACCAUGACAGCACAUGUCCCCACAGUAACAGCUACAAGCAUUGGCAGCAACAGAACUGCACUAUACAGAAUGCUAAGGUAUUAGUUUUGAGUCUGUGUUGAGUCAGUUGAUCUUGACUGGAUAUUGAUAGUGAUUCAGCCAGAGCAUCUCUGUACCAGAGUUAUAGAGUCAUAGAGUAAUACAGCAUGGAAAUAGGCCCUUCGGCCCAAACUGGUCC